rnacentral:rRNA from 1 species
GACGAACGCUGGCGGCGUGCCUAAUACAUGCAAGUCGAACGCUUCUUUCCUCCCGAGUGUUUGCACUCAAUUGGAAAGAGGAGUGGCGGACGGGUGAGUAACACGUGGGUAACCUACCCAUCAGAGGGGGAUAACACUUGGAAACAGGUGCUAAUACCGCAUAACAGUUUAUGCCGCAUGGCAUAAGAGUGAAAGGCGCUUUCGGGUGUCGCUGAUGGAUGGACCCGCGGUGCAUUAGCUAGUUGGUGAGGUAACGGCUCACCAAGGCCACGAUGCAUAGCCGACCUGAGAGGGUGAUCGGCCACACUGGGACUGAGACACGGCCCAGACUCCUACGGGAGGCAGCAGUAGGGAAUCUUCGGCAAUGGACGAAAGUCUGACCGAGCAACGCCGCGUGAGUGAAGAAGGUUUUCGGAUCGUAAAACUCUGUUGUUAGAGAAGAACAAGGACGUUAGUAACUGAACGUCCCCUGACGGUAUCUAACCAGAAAGCCACGGCUAACUACGU